rnacentral:lncRNA from 1 species
GUGGGUUGUGCUUACCGAAGCGAUUAGGUCGCUUCCAUGUCAAAGUAAUCUUUGAUUCUCAUUGAUGCAUACAUUUAUAUGGAAAGGAAUAGAUGAUGAAAUGAUUACAUGAAUCGUGAGGUCAUAGCUAAGUUAUCUACCAUUGCAAUAUGCACAUGAAUGCAUUGAUAAUCAUCUCAAGUAAUGUAUGAAUAUUGAUAUGCGAUAAACAUGUUAGAUGCAUAUAAAUGCUAGAUGCAUAUGAAUGCUAAAUGCAUAUAAAUACAAGAAUUGUGAUUACUAAUUGUAUAUGCUUAAACAUAUAUGGAAGUGAAUGCUAGGUGCAUGUUAAUAUAUUAUGAUUAAGGUUGAAGUUAUGUGAACUUGACAUAUUGUGGACAUGCUAAGUUUAUGAGAGUCGGGUAUAACUCGAUAAUUUUAAUGGAUUAGAAAUCUCGAUAGGGACAAAGAAAGUAUUAAUAUGUAAAUUAUGAACCUAGGCAAGGAUACCUAGAAUGACACAUAUAGAUCGAGUGGCAUGAACCCAAUGUUAUUAAACAUAGGUCGGACAUAACCUAAUGUCAUUAAACAUAGGUUGAAUUAGUAAACCUAGAGUCGAGAUCUAGGUGAAAGAACAAAACCUAGCGUAAGUGAACCUUGGUUAUGAUGCAUAGAGACACUUAGUAAAAUUAAAUUAAGUUAUGAAUUAUAGUGGUAAUAGGACCACUAGAAAGUGAAAAGUAAAUGGUAUAGACCUAGAAAUGUCGUCGACAUAGGGUAAAAGAGUAAACCCUUAAGUUGUGAAAGUGGGUUUCGGAAUCCAUAGAAAUGGUGCUGUUGGCAAAAUAGAAUCAGAACUACGGGAUCGACGGUUCUCCUCUCCCGGUAGUGAUUCAACGGGAUUGACGGUUCUCCUCUCCCGGUAUGAGCUCAACGGGUUUGACGGUUCUCCUCGCCCGUUCAGCUCGAGCGACUUAGGGUCACGGGGAUCGACGGUUCUCCUCUCCUUGUGAUGGACCUAGUGUCGCGUGGACUUAAGGCUGAGGUGCUUGUGAGACGUCCUUCACCUCGAGCCUGACUUGACGCGGUACUCCGCGGUUGAUUGACUCAAGACCGAGUCGAGUGGCUAGAUGGCUAAGGUAAAAUAACCUUAAGAAAGAAUCACCAGUGGGCAUAAUAUGAUAAAGAACAAAAAAAUAAAGAAUAAAGAGAGUAGCUAAUGAACGUGAAUAGCUAAUAAAGAAAAGAACGGCUACAAGUAAAGAAUGGUUAAUGAUAUAAAGUAGAAUCAAGUAUUCUACUUGCAUGAUUUACAGGUAUUGCAUAUUGCAUAGCAUCGAUACAGUUGCGAGGCAAGGCAUGGUUUUAUUUAUUUGCAUACAUAGUCAAAUAUAUGUCUAUCUGUUUAUUAAACUAACCUGCAGUUGCCUCCUUUGAACCUGGUGGGUCGAGCUCUUCUCUUGGGUGGCCGUACCCACUGGGAACUAUAUUUAUAUAGUCCUCACCCCCGUGUUGUUUUGGGGGUACAGGUUACACGCGAGCGGCGCGGCAGCGCGAGGACAGGGUGUAGCUCCGUAGAUAGUGCCCUACCACGGAGACCAGAGAUAGCAAUACCCUGAAGAGGUCAAGCUCAGAGUAUAAGUAUGAAUGAAACAAAAUUGUAGUAAAAGUGUAUAAGUUGUAAUAAUUUAAAGGCUUAUGUAAUAUUGUAAAAGUAAAAAAAUUCUGAGAUGAAUGCUUGUAAUAGCGUAGUUAGUAUUUUAUGUUUUUGAUACUGAUGCAAUCUGUGGUUGAAUACAGUUCGUGUUUGCAACCUCUUGUAUUGCAUUGUAUAGAUUGUGACGCCUAGAACGUACAGGGGAGGCUCUGUCCGUUCGGCUGUCUGUCGGCGUGCCCGAAUCCGACCAAAUAGGCGGAGCUCGGGGCGUGAUAGAUUAAGUGGUAUCAGAGCAUAAAAAGAGUAAUAGAAACGGUUUAGAUGGACCUAGGAGACCUAGGAUAGUAAACCGUAAGGAUUUAUAUUCGUGAGAGACGAGGACUUGUGACGUGUGGCGAAAGAUAAAUCAAUUGGGUCAAGUUUAGUAAACCUCUAAGAUGGAUAUUAGAGGUAGAUUCAAGAUUCAGUUUAUUCUCAGCCAAGUGAGUUCAUGUUGGGUCGACACAACAUGAAACCCAGGGAUGGGAAUAAGCUUCCUUGCAUGACUUUCGCCCGAUUUGAGUCUAUAUUAAUUAAUUCGUAUUCGACCGAGAGGGUCGAGGACUAACUGAGUUGUCGUGUUUCAGGAGGCGAUGGCACCGCGUAGGCGUUCGUCUAGAUCGACGCGGGAUGGGACAGAUGGUGUCCCUGAGCAGACUAAGGCGAGCGGAGACUUGGAGCUUCGCGAUCAGUUGGCCACACUCGUGGGAGUGGUGAGGCAACAAGCGGAUGUAGUGCAACGUCAGCAGGACGCUGCUCUGCACCAAGAAGAGCGGAUUAAGAGACUCCAGGAGACGGUGGAUCAGUUAGUAACCGCACCAGUUUCGGCUCGUCGUGUACGGCCAGGAGUCACAGCGGAGGCAUUUCAGUCGGGGUCGAGCAAUCCGACUGCUGUUAAUUCAGAGAUGGAAGCUGAAAGGGAGCGUGCUUUAGCGGCUCUUAUGACUUUUAAGUUUGAUCCGCCUACUUUUGAUGGAGAAGAUAUAGACCCGUGGACCGUAGAGUUGUGGAUCGACUCCAUGGAGACUUUAUUUGAGGAUUGGUACACUGUGGAGGGGGACAAGGUGCAUUUAGCCGUACAUUGUUUGCAACGGUCAGCGAAGGUGUGUUGGAAAGACAUCAAACGGAAUCUGUCACGCCCUGGGACCGGCUGAGGCCCUCCCGGUAGCGUGCCCAGACCCGCCAUAUGUCUACACAUAUAAGGCGUCUACAGCAAAAGCGGAAGUAAAGCAGGNACCUAGAAAGGUCGUCAACAUAGAGUAAAAGAGUAAAACCCUUAAGUUGUGAAAGUGGAUUCCGGAAUUCCUAGGAAUGGUGUGAUGGCAAGAAUAGAAUCAUAACUACGGGAUUGACGGUUCUCCUCUCCCGGUAGUGAUUCAACGGGAUCGACGGUUCUCCUCUCCCGGUAUGAGCUAACGGGUUUGACGGUUCUCCUCGCCCGUUAAGCUGGAGCGACUUAGGGUCACAGGGAUCGACGGUUCUCCUCUCCCUGUGAUGGACCUAGUGUCGUGUGGACUUAAGGCUGAGGUGCUUGUGAGACGUCCUUCACCUCGAGCCUGACUUGACACGGUACUCCGCGGUUGAUUGACUCAAGACCGAGUCGAGUGGCUAGAUGGC